rnacentral:rRNA from 1 species
AAUGAACGCUGGCGGCAGGCCUAACACAUGCAAGUCGAGCGAGGUAGCGAUACCUAGCGGCGGACGGGUGAGUAACGCGUGGGAACGUACCCUUUGGUUCGGAAUAGCCCUGGGAAACUGGGAGUAAUACCGGAUACGGUCGAGAGACGAAAGAUUUAUCGCCGAAGGAUCGGCCCGCGUUGGAUUAGGUAGUUGGUGGGGUAAUGGCCUACCAAGCCGACGAUCCAUAGCUGGUUUGAGAGGAUGAUCAGCCACACUGGGACUGAGACACGGCCCAGACUCCUACGGGAGGCAGCAGUGGGGAAUCUUAGACAAUGGGCGCAAGCCUGAUCUAGCCAUGCCGCGUGAGCGAUGAAGGCCUUAGGGUUGUAAAGCUCUUUCAGGGGGGAAGAUAAUGACUGUACCCCCAGAAGAAGCCCCGGCUAACUCCGUG